GGAAGCAGCCGCCACGCGCGGAGCCACUUCCUGUUUACUCGACGGGAAAGGUGCAGGUUGCCCGGGGAGGUUCCUGGCUGAGGACCGAGGUGGAAAAGGGAAGCCGCUGACUCGCGCGGAAGGCGGGGCUGGCGCCAGGGGCGUCGCCCCGACAGUGCGUCCGCGCGCAGUGGCUCAGGGCGCCCUUCACCUUCUCCAAGGUUACGGUGCGGUUCGGGGCGUGGCGCUCCGCGGAGGUGUGCGUGCCUGCUCGGGGGCGGUGGGGGGGGUGUUUGGAAGCGCGGCCACGGGGGUGUUGGCUUCCGGGGACUGUGCACGCCCCGUGUGUGGGCACCUCAGAUAGGUACAGACAUCUCAGGGUGUGUGCUGCCCGCCAUGUGUGUGCAUGCGGGCAUCGAGGGCCACCCUUGGGUUUGUGGCUUCUUACGGUUUGUGCACUGCGGUGGUUGGGUACCUGAGGGCCACGUCUAGGGUGUGUGCGGGCAUGAUUGGAUGUCGGGCAUGAUUCGCACGAGUGAGCUACCACAUCGCAGACUAGUGCUGCUGAGAGGGCUUAGGAAGAAAACCCCAUUGGCCGUUCUUGGGCCCUGCAAAGCCUUCUUGGGACAGACGCCCUCCUUAGCCCACUUCAUCCAAUCCAGCGGGUUCUCCGUGGAAGAAUGGUUCCUUUAAGUGGGUGGCGCACGUAUGCUCUUCAUAAUAGGCACGUCUCCUGGCCUGCAGUCCUGGACCCAGCUGUCCUUCCAAGAGUCUAACUGACAGCCCCCCCCCCCAUGCCAUCCUCCAUUGCUCUGUCCCCGCAGGCUCCAAGGGCUGUGCAUCCAUGGCAGUUUAAAUCCUACCUUCACCAGUGGGCACUUCUGACUUGGCUGACCCCGUCAUGUUCCCUCUUACUCUCCCCCCCCCCCCCCCGUCACCCCAAAGCCUUUUUUUUGUUGUGGGGUGCUGCACACGAGAUACAGCAAGCCAGGCAUGGUGGCGCACAUCUUCACUCAGGAGGCAGAGGCAGGCGGAUCUCUGUGAGUUCGAGGUCGGCCUGGUCUACAGAGCGAGUUCCAGGACAGGAUCCAAAGCAAAAACCAAGGGGGGGGGGAGAUAAAGCAGUAAUCACCGAGGGAGCAUUUGCCAGAAACACUUCCCCUUCUGCAGAAACAGGCCAGACCGGCACAGGUGUGUGGGUGCUGGCAGAAACUACCAGGCCUCUGGGUCAGAGAGGAAGAACUCUUAGGAGGAAAGCCGUGGAGGGUGUCGGAGCACCUGCUCCCACAGGGUUUCCAGCCGUGUGCCUGGGUUGGUGGAGAUAAUGGUCUGCUAAGACGAUGUGGCCCAUCAGUCACCCACGAGACCUGGGUUAGAUUCAGGAGUGAGUGACAGCCCAGGGUCGCUUUAGCUCUGGACCUGUCGUCCGUCUCUUGAUAGUCUCCAGGGCUAGUCAGUCAGCCUGCAAGACCUUUUACGUCGUGGCUUCUUCAGAGUCUAGUUGACAGGGCUGAGGUCACUGGGACACGGAUAGAAAGCAGCCGCCACGACGUAAGAGAUCCCCACCCGGGCUCCUGUCUCUGUGGAUAAUGGGGGAUGAGCUACUGACAAGGGAGGGGCAGAUGACCAGUUAAAUGCCUUUAAGACAAUAAGCAAAUGUCUUUCUGUGGCAUGCACACGUCCAGGGUGUAAGGGGUAAAUCAUCGUGGUCCAUUUUCUGUCUGAGGCGUCUAGUAGAGCCACAGCUGAGCAGGUGAUCUGUGCCUGUCCCCAGCAGAGGGCAUAAGCAGCUGGAGCCUGCCUGUCUGUAGACACCCUCAGUUCACCUUGAGGUUGAAAGCCCCAUCUGCUGCAAGACAGAAGCCAUGUAUCAGAAAAGGGGAGGAGAAUCUCCAGCCCCGGGAGGAUGCAGGAAGGGAGGGCUCCGUGCUAGACAAGCAGGAAGGGCAGCAACACUCUGUCCCAGCCCGUGGCGGAAAAGGGCAGGGAUCUUCAGAUUUGGGGACUACAAAAACGCAUGGCCUCACAUCGUGAGGAAUCUGCAUACUUGUCCAUUUUGGCCACUCGGACACCCGGCUUCUGCUGAAGUGGAAAUAACCCUGUCUCAAUUUUGCUACGAAGUCAGCAGCAUUCUCACCGUGAGUAAGGGCCACUGUGUCGCACGCCGGGCUGCCAGGACAGACCACGGACUGGCUUGUUGGAAGCAACAGCAGCAUGCAGCGAGAUUCCUGAGAGCAGCCUACCAGGACCACAGUGUGUGGGGCGGGGUGGGGCGGGGCGGGGGAAGGACUCCUCCUGACUCCUGAGGACACACACGUCUUCCUCUGUAUGUUGCCAGCCCACUCUGGGUGUCCCUCAGCCUGUGGCCGUCUUUACACAGUUGUGUCCACUUCCUCUUUUGUAAGGGUCCCUGACAUAUUUGCACAGGCGCACCCUAACUGCCUCCGCUUUACCUGGCCAUCAUCAAAGGCUCUGCUUUCCGAAGAUGAUCAGUCACCGAUACAGGCUGGGAUUUGAAUGUACAUUAUCUAUCUGGUAAUGGUGGAUUCAUCUAGGCACAAGUGAUGACACAUUGCAUGUAGAUGACCCCCACAUGGGUACACAGGUCAGGGGCGGGGGCGAGGAGCCAGGGGGCAAUGCCCAAGACUAGGGGAAUAUGGUUUGGGGGCCCCAGAGCUUGGAUUGGCCCUGGGGCCCAGUAGCCUAUUCCAGGGACUUUUCAGGGGGCUGUUCCCAGAUUGGCCAGCAGAUGUCGCAACUACCCACACCCAGCCUUCCUGGGGAGGCAGCAGCUUCACAGCUUGUGUUUUUAAAGUCCCAGGUGAAGCCAUUAUCUUCCUGCAGAAGACUCGGAACCCCGGCCUUAAAGAGUGGAUUCUCAUCUUGAUUUCCCGAUGCUGUGACAUAGCAUUUUGCAAAAAUCUGUGGGUCCCCACCCUUGCCCUCUUUUUAAGGGUCCCAGGCCUCACACACGCUAGAGGCUAGUGCUCCACCACUUGGGAUGCUUCACCACAAGGCUGAGCCCCACCUCUGAUGCCCGUGAGGACCCUGAAGAACCUGGGGGUCUGUCUCUUGGAUCUGCCCUCCUGGAAGCACCACUGGAAGUUGUCCACAGGAGGCAAUCCUCGCACUGUCGGGAGCUCUGCCGUGGAACGCCCCACGUUGCCCUUAGCCACUGACUCAGAGCCUGACUCAGAGCCUCCACCACGUAAGCAGAGGUCGCUUUGACCAAGAACCGGGUUCCCAGGCUGAAAAGAUGGCUCAGCAGGUAGAGCGCCCUGCUGCCACACCUCAUGGCCUGUAUACAUACUAAAUAAAUUUAAAAAACAAA